rnacentral:rRNA from 1 species
CCUACGGGUGGCAGCAGUCGGGAAUAUUGCGCAAUGGAGGAAACUCUGACGCAGUGACGCAGCGUGCAGGAAGAAGGUUUUCGGAUUGUUAACUUCUUUAUAUAGGGGAGAAAAAAGACAGUACCUGUAAAAUAAGCUCCGGCUAACUACGUGCCAGCAGCCGCGGUAAUACGUAGGGGGCAAGCGUUAACCGGAUUUAUUGGGUGUAAAGGGUGUGUAGACGGGUAGUCAAGUUGGUUGUGAAAUCCUUCGGCUUAACUGAAGAAUUGCAAUCGAAACUGACAUUCUUGAGUGCUGGAGAGGUAAGUGGAAUUCGUGGUGUAGCGGUGAAAUGCGUAGAUAUUAGGAGGAACACCAAUUGCGAAGGCGACUUUCUAGACAGUAACUGACGUUGAGGCACGAAAGUGUGGGGAGCAAACAGGAUUAGAUACCCUUGUAGUC